GACGAACGCUGGCGGCGUGCCUAAUACAUGCAAGUAGAACGCUGAAGAGAGGAGCUUGCUCUUCUUGGAUGAGUUGCGAACGGGUGAGUAACGCGUAGGUAACCUGCCUUGUAGCGGGGGAUAACUAUUGGAAACGAUAGCUAAUACCGCAUAACAAUGGAUGACACAUGUCAUUUAUUUGAAAGGGGCAAUUGCUCCACUACAAGAUGGACCUGCGUUGUAUUAGCUAGUAGGUGAGGUAACGGCUCACCUAGGCGACGAUACAUAGCCGACCUGAGAGGGUGGUCGGCCACACUGGGACUGAGACACGGCCCAGACUCCUACGGGAGGCAGCAGGAGGGAAUCUUCGGCAAUGGGGGCAACCCUGACCGAGCAACGCCGCGUGAGGGAAGAAGGUUUUCGGAUCGUAAAGCUCUGUUGUAAGUCAAGAACGAGUGUGAGAGUGGAAAGUUCACACUGUGACGGUAGCUUACCAGAAAGGGACGGCUAACUACGUG
rnacentral:rRNA from 1 species